UGCUACACAUGCACAGUGUCAGAGAUCGUGUGCGGUCAGGUCUACUCAGUGGUCGUCGCCCCACUGAAUCCAGACGGAAACUAGGUCCAGUUCUUUAACAGCAGGCUGUAUUCAGUCACAUGUGUGGGCAGCAGUGUUGGAUUGGUGAUCUAUCAAGGAAAAAGAUAAUGAUGGGAUGGAUGUCCUUCAAACAGUGAGGGUUGGAAGGAUUUUCUGGAAAGGCAGUUUCAAUAUUAAAGUUAUAACAGACUGAAAGAUUGAUCGUUACAGAGGUAAACAGACAGGGAAAUAUGAGCUAAAUAAAUGGCAGACAACAAUGGCCACAUACUUGACUGAAAAGUGGCUAAAACGCUAUAAAAACCAGCCAAUACGCUGGACCGGGGAGUGACCAAUAUGACUGGGGUUAGAUGAGGAAUUCAUAAUGCAAAAAUAAUAUAUAAAACUACUUCUUAACAAACAUUAAACAAUCUAGAAUUAGGGCCA
ensembl:lncRNA